rnacentral:rRNA from 1 species
GACGAACGCUGGCGGCGUGCCUAAUACAUGCAAGUUGAGCGAUGAAGCUUGGUGCUUGCACCCAUUUGAAGAGCAGCGAACGGGUGAGUAACGCGUGGGGAAUCUGCCUUUGAGCGGGGGACAACAUUUGGAAACGAAUGCUAAUACCGCAUAACAACUUUAAACAUAAGUUUUAAGUUUGAAAGAUGCAAUUGCAUCACUCAAAGAUGAUCCCGCGUUGUAUUAGCUAGUUGGUGAGGUAAAGGCUCACCAAGGCGAUGAUACAUAGCCGACCUGAGAGGGGGAUCGGCCACAGUGGGACUGGGACACGGCCCAAACUCCUACGGGAGGCAGCAGUAGGGAAUCUUCGGCAAUGGACGAAAGUCUGACCGAGCAACGCCGCGGGAGUGAAGAAGGUUGUCGGAUCGUAAAACUCUGUUGGUAGAGAAGAACGUUGGUGAGAGUGGAAAGCUCAUCAAGUGACGGUAACUACCCAGAAAGGGACGGCUAACUACGUG